rnacentral:rRNA from 1 species
AUUGAACGCUGGCGGCAGGCCUAACACAUGCAAGUCGAACGGUAACAGGAAGCAGCUUGCUGCUUUGCUGACGAGUGGCGGACGGGUGAGUCAUGUCUGGGAAACUGCCUGAUGGAGGGGGAUAACUACUGGAAACGGUAGCUAAUACCGCAUAACGUCGCAAGACCAAAGAGGGGGACCUUCGGGCCUCUUGCCAUCGGAUGUGCCCAGAUGGGAUUCGCUAGUAGGUGGGGUAACGGCUCACCUAGGCGACGAUCCGUAGCUGGUCUGAGAGGAUGACCGGCCACACUGGAACUGAGACACGGUCCAGACUCCUACGGGAGGCAGCAGUGGGGAAUAUUGCGCAAUGGGCGCAAGCCUGAUGCAGCCAUGCCGCGUGUAUGAAGAAGGCCUUCGGGUUGUAAAGUACUUUCAGCGGGGAGGAAGGGAGUAAAGUUAAUACCUUUGCUCAUUGACGUUACCCGCAGAAGAAGCACCGGCUAACUCCGUG